GCUCCCCCAGGUAAAGCAGGUGCGGGCCUUGCGGCAGCUCCAGGAGAGGCUGCAGGCUGAGAACCGGGCCCUGGCUCGCGUGGUGACCAGGCUGUCGCAGUCCUGUAGCCGCCUGCUGGCCCCGCCCGCGCCCCUAGACACGCCCCUCCCACUGCCCCGCCCAGACGCUACCGGACUUGAAAUCAGACAACCAGAGACUAAAGGACGAGAACGGCGCCCUGAUCAGAGUGAUUAGCAAACUCUCAAAGUAGAACGCCCCCCCCCCCCCCUCUCCCCCGCUGCCUGUCCGCAGCCACUAACGGUAUUGCACAUUUAGAUAUUAAUUGCAACAGACAUCAGCUGCAAGAAGGCUCUCACAACCAUCCCCCCUGCCCUGCCCCCCCCGCCCUCUCUUAUCGCCGAAACCGCUUCCCUGCAUCGGUCCUCUCUUCGGUUCGCUUCCACGCGGAGAGCGGAGUUUACAGAACAAAGAACGCCCCGCGAUCGACGUGGCCGGACAAGCCUCCGGCGCAUUUACCCAUAAGCCUUAGUUCACACGCGAAAACGCUCUCGUCAGCCUUCACACCCAACAACUUGCCCCACUGAAUUUUUACGUGCCACAAACUCCUUUUUUUCUUUUCUCGUUUCCGUUUUUGUUUUUCUGCACCUGCUUAGAAGUGGUGUUUGCAGUGUUACUGCCUUUAGGCCACACCCCCCCCCCCCCCAUGUCCUUUCUGUGCCAGAAGCCCUGCGCCCGUGGGAACUGUGUCACUUCCUGGAACGCCCGGCAUUGGCACGACGACCGACUCUUCUGCACCUGUGGUCCAGCAAGAAACACACACACACUCUCACACUCUUACACACACACACACACACACACACACACACACUCUCACACUCUUACACACACACACACACACACUCUUACACACACACACACUCGCGCACACACACACUUUCUCUCUCUCACACACACACACACACACACACACACACACACACACAGACUUACACCACCUUCCCAUCUAUAGUUACUUCUUCCCCCGUUGCAGUAAAAUUAGGGGGAGUUUAGGAUUUCACUAUGUGCAAUAUGCAUUUAUUUCUCACAAAAAUGCUUUAAUGAGUCCAUCAAAAGUAUGGUUUCUCUCCUCUGCCCCCACCCCACCUAUUUUUUAAAAGGCUUUUGUUGCAGUGCAGCUGUUGGUUUAUACCAGACAUCGUUCACUUUGUUUUAGCAGGUACUUAGUGAUGCUGUGUGUAUAUAUGUAUUGUUUGAGACCAGCAAAAUGGCAUGAAUUAUGGUCCCGUAUGACCAUGUCUGUUACUAUUAAAAUAUACCAACUCCCGAGGACAGAAGUGUGUUUUAGCUUUUUAUUUCAUCGUUUGAAGACGUCAAACUGCAGUAGAGUCUAUCCAAGGGGGGUGGCUAGCGGUAAUCAAUACCGGUUCAUUUUAAAACGAUAAAAACAACUUUUAAAAAAUGGUUAAAACGACUUCCAAAACAAUAAUAUAAUUGCUUAACGACAUUUCACACAUUGUAAGCAGUACCAUGCAAAGAGUGUUUUUUUUUUGUUUGUUUUUUUGUUUUUCUUUUUUGUUUUUCUUGUUUCCUUUCGUUGGCUUCGGUGUUGGUAGCCGAGGUAACGCAUUGUAAUGAAACCCUACGGUAUGUGUUUUGGAGUGAGUCUGUUAACACUGUCGGUCAGCUCUGCCUGGGCCUAAAACCAAGAGGGCUGUCCAGCUUCGAUUACCAUUUUCAAAAAAGACCAUCGUCGGAACAUUUUACACAUUUCAGUGGCCUUUUAAAUUCGCUGUAGUAAAAAAAAGAAAAAAGAAUCUGGACUUUUAGCAGUUCUUUUUUUUUUUCUUUUUUUAAUUGCCUUCCUGCCAUUUUGUGAAAACACAAGAGUGACUUUGUUACUGGGCUCGCCGUGUUGUGACAACCACUGAGGAGUUGCUUAAAAAGACAAUUGUACAUUGUGAAGCUUGUGUUGGCUAUUGUACCGUGGUCGACUAUUACACGCGUAAAUGUGAAUUUCUGCCCUGAAUAAAAACUGCUGAGCGAGAGGGAGAGAAAGUGGGCCUCGUACUCUGUCAAAUGUUUUAGUUUUCAUCUUUUAUUUUUUAUAUAUUUUUUUAAUUUCACAUUUAGUUUAUUGUGUGUGUGUGUGUGUGUGGGGGGGGGGGGGGGGUGACUUUGUGUGGUUUGAGGCUGGGUACCUACCACCAGGCUGAAGAAUUGUUGAUGAGAAUUGACCAGUUGGACGAAUGCUGAUAUAUUUACAUGGAAGAUGUACUAAUGUUUGAGUGAGUGCAGAGCGGGCCAAAAUGGAUUCCUUUAACUUGUGUGACUGUUUCGCGCUGUGAGCGCGUGCGUGGUCUCGCAUAACUGCUUUAUUUUCUGCUACGGUUUUUGAGUGUUUUAUAUUUAGAUUAUUUAUUCGUAAGACAAUUUAAGUGGCUACAGCUCUAAAAUGAUUUUAUUCCUAGUUCAGAGCACAGCGUGUGUCUUCAUGGAACCAGUUGCUAAACAGUUAUUUUGAAGAAAACAUGUAUUUUGACUUAAACAAAAUAAAAACUGUAUAAAGUUG